CACGUAGGGGGCGAGCGUUAUCCGGAAUUAUUGGGCGUAAAGAGCUCGUAGGCGGUUUGUCGCGUCUGCCGUGAAAGUCCGGGGCUCAACUCCGGAUCUGCGGUGGGUACGGGCAGACUAGAGUGAUGUAGGGGAGACUGGAAUUCCUGGUGUAGCGGUGAAAUGCGCAGAUAUCAGGAGGAACACCGAUGGCGAAGGCAGGUCUCUGGGCAUUAACUGACGCUGAGGAGCGAAAGCAUGGGGAGCGAACGGG
rnacentral:rRNA from 1 species